rnacentral:rRNA from 1 species
UCGAGAAUCUUCCGCAAUGGGCGAAAGCCUGACGGAGCGACGCCGCGUGCGGGAUGAAGGCCCUCGGGUUGUAAACCGCUGUCAGUUGGGAGGAAAUGCUAUGGGGCACUCUCCAUAGUUUGACCGAUCUUCAGAGGAAGUCCGGGCUAAGUUCGUGCCAGCAGCCGCGGUAAGACGAACCGGACGAACGUUAUUCGGAAUCACUGGGCUUAAAGAGUACGUAGGCGGCUUGGUAGGUUGGGUGUGAAAUCCCACAGCUCAACUGUGGAACUGCGCUCAAAACCACCAAGCUUGAGGGAGACAGGGGUGAGCGGAACUGAUGGUGGAGCGGUGAAAUGCGUUGAUAUCAUCAGGAACACCGGUGGCGAAGGCGGCUCACUGGGUCUCUUCUGACGCUGAGGUACGAAAGCUAGGGUAGCGAACGGGAUUAGAUACCCCCGUAGUCC